UACGUAGGAAGCGAGCGUUGUCCGGAAUUAUUGGGCGUAAAGGGCUCGUAGGCGGUUUGUCGCGUCGGGAGUGAAAUCCACUGGCUUAACUGGUGGCUUGCUUUCGAUACGGGCAGACUGGAGGUAUGCAGGGGAGAACGGAAUUCCUGGUGUAGCGGUGAAAUGCGCAGAUAUCAGGAGGAACACCGGUGGCGAAGGCGGUUCUCUGGGCAUGUCCUGACGCUGAGGAGCGAAAGUGUGGGGAGCGAACAGG
rnacentral:rRNA from 1 species